rnacentral:rRNA from 1 species
GACGCUGCCCGAAAUGCUUGGAAGGCUAGUUGGGGAGGGUAGCGCCUGCUAAGCGUUGCUCAUACCCGAGACAGGCGAGAUCGUUCAUGGGCUUUGUUCACAGGCUUUGCGGCCUUGCAUCGCUCCUCUGAUGGUUUCGUGCUGGGCGAACCUCUCGCAGCAUCACACGGUCAUUGCCCACCACAGCUCGUUGCUUGGUCACCCGCUGAGUCUUGAUGUGCAGGAUGUUUCAUCCAGUUUCCAGGCUAUUGAAGUUGACGCGUGGAUGGGCAAAAUCCCGCACGGAGGGCUUGUCCGUGCGUGGGUUAUGGCUCGCGUCACGCCUGUGAAAUCUGGCUCUGACUGCCGACUUGUGGACGUGGUGUGAUCCAUUCGGCGACGAAGCUGCAAUUGGCCAGACACAUACAGCUCCCAGCCCUCUCGUCAUGUGCCGACGGAGGGUACCUGCGGGCAGGCUGCUUGCGUCGCAUGCGAAGCAUACGCUCAGCCUGGGAUGCUGGUCUGAUUGGUGAUGUUCUGGCGACCAUCGGUCACGUCUCGAAACACGGGCCAAGGAGUAUAGCAUGUGUGCAAGUCUAAGGGUCUCACAAAACCCGAGGGCGAAGUGAAAGCAAAGGUGUGGCGGCGCUUUGCAGCGCCGUCAGCCAUGUCAAAGUGGUUGCUAGUACCGAGCUGAUCCUGCUUUCCCAUGCUGGGGACAGGCGCAAGCUCCGGGCUCACGAUUGUUUGGUUCGGCAAGCUACUCCUUCACGGGAGUGGCGGGCUGGACGGUGAGCACCGCGGAGCACAUAUGCUAUGACCCGAAAGAUAGUGAACUAUGCCUGGCGAGGGUGAAGCCCCAGGAAACUGGGGUGGAGGCCCGUAGCCGUUGUGACGUGCAAAUCCAUGGCGUCAG